rnacentral:rRNA from 1 species
CCUACGGGUGGCUGCAGUGGGGAAUAUUGGACAAUGGGGGGAACCCUGAUCCAGCCAUGCCGCGUGUGUGAAGAAGGCCCUCGGGUUGUAAAGCACUUUCAGUGAGGAAGAACGCCUGGUGGUUAAUACCCAUCAGGAAAGACAUCACUCACAGAAGAAGCACCGGCUAACUCCGUGCCAGCAGCCGCGGUAAUACGGAGGGUGCGAGCGUUAAUCGGAAUUACUGGGCGUAAAGCGCGCGUAGGUGGCUUGAUAAGCCGGUUGUGAAAGCCCCGGGUUCAACCUGGGAACGGCAUCCGGAACUGUCAAGCUAGAGUGCAGGAGAGGAAGGUAGAAUUCCCGGUGUAGCGGUGAAAUGCGUAGAGAUCGGGAGGAAUACCAGUGGCGAAGGCGGCCUUCUGGACUGACACUGACACUGAGGUGCGAAAGCGUGGGUAGCAAACAGGAUUAGAUACCCUGGUAGUC